rnacentral:rRNA from 1 species
GAUGAACGCUGGCGGCGUGCCUAAUACAUGCAAGUCGAGCGAACAGAUGAGGAGCUUGCUCCUCUGACGUUAGCGGCGGACGGGUGAGUAACACGUGGAUAACCUACCUAUAAGACUGGGAUAACUUCGGGAAACCGGAGCUAAUACCGGAUAAUAUAUUGAACCGCAUGGUUCAAUAGUGAAAGACGGUUUUGCUGUCACUUAUAGAUGGAUCCGCGCCGCAUUAGCUAGUUGGUAAGGUAACGGCUUACCAAGGCAACGAUGCGUAGCCGACCUGAGAGGGUGAUCGGCCACACUGGAACUGAGACACGGUCCAGACUCCUACGGGAGGCAGCAGUAGGGAAUCUUCGGCGAUGGGCGAAAGCCUGACGGAGCAACGCCGCGUGAGUGAUGAAGGUCUUCGGAUCGUAAAACUCUGUUAUUAGGGAAGAACAAAUGUGUAAGUAACUAUGCACGUCUUGACGGUACCUAAUCAGAAAGCCACGGCUAACUACGUG